rnacentral:rRNA from 1 species
AUUGAACGCUGGCGGCAGGCCUAACACAUGCAAGUCGAACGAGUGGCGGACGGGUGAGUAAUGUCUGGGAAACUGCCAGAUGGAGGGGGAUAACUACUGGAAAAGGUCGCUAAUACCGCAAACUAGAGGUAGUGCCCAGAUGGGAUUAGCUAGUAGGUGGGGUAACGGCUCACCUAGGCGACGAUCUCUAGCUGGUCUGAGAGGAUUACCAGCCACACUGGAACUGAGACACGGUCCAGACUCCUACGGGAGGCAGCAGUGGGGAAUAUUGCACAAUGGGCGCAAGCCUGAUGCAGCCAUGCCGCGUGUAUGAAGAAGGCCUUCGGGUUGUAAAGUACUUUCAGCGAGGAGGCGUUACUCGCAGAAGAAGCACCGGCUAACUCCGUGCCAGCAGCCGCGGUAAUAC